UACGUAGGGUGCGAGCGUUGUCCGGAAUUAUUGGGCGUAAAGGGCUCGUAGGCGGUUUGUCGCGUCGGGAGUGAAAACACCGGGCUUAACUCGGUGCUUGCUUUCGAUACGGGCAGACUAGAGGCAUGCAGGGGAGAACGGAAUUCCUGGUGUAGCGGUGAAAUGCGCAGAUAUCAGGAGGAGCACCGGUGGCGAAGGCGGUUCUCUGGGCAUGUCCUGACGCUGAGGAGCGAAAGUGUGGGGAGCGAACAGG
rnacentral:rRNA from 1 species